UGGGGGAAAUAUUGGGCAAUGGGCGAAAGCCUGACCCAGCAACGCCGCGUGAGGGAAGUAAGGGUUUCGGCUCGUAAACCUCUGUCCUAUGGGACGUAAGGAAGUGACGGUACCAUAGGAGGAAGCCCCGGCUAACUACGUGCC
rnacentral:rRNA from 1 species